UGGUGAAGCACUGAGGCUCUCGCUGAGCUUCACAAAAACAUCGCUGAACUUCACAAAAGGAAAUAAUUGUGAGAUUCGGUGUGGUACUGGGGUCAGGGAGUACUUCCUGUGUUGUGUCCAAAGAUCACUUCCUGUCCUCUCAAACAGGAGAACAAUGGAGACCUGACAUACAAGAGGAGGAGGAGGAAAACUCUUCUCAUCGCACUGAAGAACCUCAAGGAACAUGUUGAAGUGUCUGCUCUUAGUGCAGUAUGAAUAAAAAUACACACAUGAAGAACCACA